AUUACGUCACAGGAAGUUUACGGACUCUCAGGAAAUUUCGAUAAACAGUUUCCCAGUGUUUCUGUUUAUUAAAACUUUUACAACGUGUGUAAGAAUGCAGCUGAAACUACGACCCCAAAAGAAAUCUAGUACAGGAACAGCUCCUCCAGUGCGUCCAGCUGCUCUUCUGUAAAAAUAGUGCGGUGACGUCUGGUCCGCCUCUGCACCUGGCCGGGUGAAUGCUCAUCUCUGUGAGCCUCUCCCAGCCUGCAUGGGUUUGAGAGCAUCGCCGGGGGCCAUCCAUACUGACAAGCUACAGGGAGGACAUCUGAUUUUAGGUUAAGCAGGAGAUGGGAGCAGUAGCAGCAGCACAUGCAGGAGUGAUGAACAGUCUCUGUCUGGUCUCCAACAGGACUCACUGUCUUCUCUUUUAGUCCAGCGCCACUUGUCCCACACACUCUUCUGUCUCCAUUACUGUUUGGAUAUUUGCUCAAUAUGUUUUCAAUAGUGAAAGGAAACUUCUGUCUCUCCAUCUUGAUCAGUCCAUUCAUCUCCAAAGAAAUUCCAAUAAAACACGAGCAAUGCUGAUCACAGGA